AUUGAACGCUGGCGGCAUGCUUUACACAUGCAAGUCGAACGGUAACAGGCCGCAAGGUGCUGACGAGUGGCGAACGGGUGAGUAAUGCAUCGGAACGUGCCCAGUCGUGGGGGAUAACUAUCCGAAAGGAUAGCUAAUACCGCAUACGAUCUGCGGAUGAAAGCGGGGGACCUUCGGGCCUCGCGCGAUUGGAGCGGCCGAUGUCAGAUUAGGUAGUUGGUGGGGUAAAGGCUCACCAAGCCAACGAUCUGUAGCUGGUCUGAGAGGACGACCAGCCACACUGGGACUGAGACACGGCCCAGACUCCGACGGGAGGCAGCAGUGGGGAAUUUUGGACAAUGGGCGCAAGCCUGAUUCAGCAAUGCCGCGUGCAGGAAGAAGGCCUUCGGGUUGUAAACUGCUUUUGUACGGAACGAAACGGCUCUGGUUAAUACCUGGGGCUAAUGACGGUACCGUAAGAAUAAGCACCGGCUAACUACGUGCCAGCAGCCGCGGUAA
rnacentral:rRNA from 1 species